rnacentral:rRNA from 1 species
GGGUUGUCAUGCCAAUGGCACUGCCCGGUAGCUAAAUGCGGAAGAGAUAAGUGCUGAAAGCAUCUAAGCACGAAACUUGCCCCGAGAUGAGUUCUCCCUGAGACUUUAAGUCUCCUGAAGGAACGUUAAAGACGAUGACGUUGAUAGGCCGGGUGUGUAAGCGCAGCGAUGCGUUGAGCUAACCGGUUCUAAGCAAGACUUUUGCCGAG